AAUGAAAUGCCCAACCAUUGCAAGGGAUUUUGUUGCUGCUGCAUCAACUUGCCAAGAACCAGUGAAAUUGAACAUGCCAUUAAAGCUUCCAAGUGGAAUAUGUCCUGAUAUACCUGAUUUCUCAUUGAAUCUUCCUGCCAUCUCAUGGAAGCUGCAAACAGGAAUUCUUUCAAUGUGCCUAUGGCCUUUAGAGCAAUCAAUAUCAACAGAAACAUUGGGCAGCAAAAACCCAUCAGAGACAACUAGAUCCCUGGUAUGCUCUUCAUCAAUAUGCACCAACCUGGACCCAGGAGCUCCCUUGCAAUACAAAAGCCGUAUAUCAGAUGUGACAUCAAACCCACGACCCAAAGCCUGGAUUGAGUUGGAGAGAGUAGUGGUCAAAGCAUCAGAGCUCAAGCUCAUUUUUUUUUCACUUUCCAUAGAUGAAACAAUAAUCCUAAAGGGUUUUCUAGNUCUAGUAUCUCAUUUCUGUGAUUUGUUUCCAGGAAGUUAAGAGGAAAAAGAAAUGAGAAAU
rnacentral:misc_RNA from 1 species